rnacentral:lncRNA from 1 species
GCACAAAUUACUGAAAAAAAUAACUUGACAAUAUGUAAUAAAACACGAUAAAUACCUUUUGUUUCAAUGCAGGCAGUUGGAAAGCCUGUUCCGAUGACGUCACGUAAAUAAAGGGGCGGAGCCUGCAGAUUAGAAGUCUCAAGCUGUGGUAAUCGUCUAACCUAGGCGCUCGUCCACACUCCCACAGUGCUUUAAAUCGUCUUAUUGUGACUCUGAAUGGUUUUUUUCAGUGUGGGAACCUUUGGCCGAGCACAAGCGAAAGUUUUCCUGCCGGUAGCGGUAAGUGGGCGGGCUACGAAAGCGGAAGAAUUGUAGUUGGUGUGGCUAAGGUAGUUAGCUCCAGCCACUAGCAGCAGCAGCAGCAGCUCACUGUGCUAACAUGCCGGGAGCUGCCUGACACUUCACCGUCAGCUGUGAGCGGAACAGCUCAGGGAUAGCAGAGCGUUGUUGUCUGAGGCUACACCAGCUGGAGCUGCUUGUCCACACACACAGCCUGUGUUUCUACACCAGUGAGCUGUAAAACACUGCUGAGCGUCUCAUCGAGGGAGUGUCAACUUCUUCUUUUUUUUGCCAAAAAAAAAAAAAAAAAAAAAAACCAUCCGUGAAUCGUGCAGACAUGCUGACAGACAGCAGGAAGCGACAUCAUAGCUGUGACAGUGAGGAGGAGCAGCAGCAGCUCAUGCCUCGGGCUAAGAGAUUUGGAAGAGGUCCUUGCCUCCAUGUGUCAGAUUUGGAUUCCGAGUCUUCCAGCAGUGACAGCAGUAAUGGGAUCAGCAGUCCAGAGGCAACAAUGGUGGCCAGCACCAGGCCGUGCAUACACAGUCAGAGCAACUGCAUCACCCAACACUCCCUUAGCCCAAAGCCUGAGGAAUCUGCCAGCUCCUUGCAGCACGGUUUCCAGGGUGACGGGAGGGGGAGUGUCUCCUACGACCACAUCAACAGAAUCCUGCGGGAGGCGCACUUCAGCAGCCUGCAAACCAAAGGGCGUCCAGGCACAACAUGACCGUGAACUUUGACCCUCUGCUGACCAUCUUUAGGCUCUCACACAUCAGCACCGGCUCUGCCAGCGUGGACACCUCAAUCUACACCCCGGGGGUCAGGGUUGAGGGGACGGCAAGUGUGGUGGUUUAUAUGAUUCGGCCAUGACGGCUCAUCCCCACCUCCACAUGUUCCAUUCGUCCUCAAACAUAAAGCACAUCUGCCUUCUCAUGGCCCAGUCACUGUGGUUCCCUGUGCAGUAUUGAUGUGUAUUUGUACAUGUGCGUGUGUGUGCACGCACCCACCCACUGCACUUUAUGACUCUCUUUACAUGCGUGUGUUUGAUGUGUGGACAUUUCCAUUGGUGCUAAUUACAAAAGAAGUGAUAAUGACCCAAGGUGCGUGCAUAUCAAAAAUAAAGCAAAGCAC